CUUGAAUAUGACGAAAAACCAAAUUAUGAGGCAUUGAGGGGUUUAUUGGCCUCAAAUGUAAAGAUUGGCGAAAAGCAGGAAGUGGAGCCGUUAUAUUCAACUUCGAAGCGAAUUCGAAUUGAUAGUGACAGUGGGACGGAUAAAAAAGCAGACAGCCAAUCUAUGACGACUGCAGAGUAUUUUGAUCUCCAUCCGUCUGCGGAUAUUCAAAGAGGCACUAAAAUUGUUUAUCCUACGGGUAAUAGAACUAGUUUUCAAAUUCAAGUUAAUAUGGAC